UUUAGUUCCUCAUACUUACAAAGCAAAGAUGCAUAAAUUUAGACAUUAAAAACAAAGAUAGAAAACACCUAGAAACGCUCCAACACUCCCGAGGCUUGGGCAUAGGCACGGCACAAGAUGUUCCUUCUCUUUCCUUCCUUGCAAGCAGCGGCACUAGAGGUUUUGGACGGUUUUGGGUGGUUUUUAUGGUGUAGAAUGGAUGGGGAAUGGUAUGGAAAGGUUUAGGGUAAGUGUGGAGGAGUGUUUGAGGGUUGGAGGGUGGUGGAGAACUAGGCAAAGAGGGUGGAAGAAGGUGGAGUGGCUGUUAUGUUUUCUAGGCACUAGAAUGGUGUUUUUGGGGUGUUUUGCUUCCUAGGGUGUGUAUGGACGAAUUGUUGUGAUAAAAUGAUGAAUAUGGGGGAUUGUCCUUUGGCCAAGGGGUUGUAAACAUGUAUUUAUAGGCCCCAAAAACCUUAGAAAAUCAGGUUAGGUUAAGGAUGAAAUGCAUGGCAAUUUGUGUGUGUGGUGUGCAAUGGUCCAAGGGUGAAAAUAAAGUAAUGAUGCAAAGUGUGAAGGGUAAAAUGGAGUGGUGUUGUAGCUAGGGAGCAUGAAUGAUUGUGUACA
rnacentral:lncRNA from 1 species